AUGUCCAGAGUCUUUAAUGUCCUGCAAAUGAAGAAGGAUGUCCUCAAAUUCCUUGCAGCAGAAACCCACUUAGAUGGCACCAACCUGACUUUCAAAUGCAACAGUACAUUUCCAAAAAGAAAAGCGAUGGCAUCUAUACCAUAAAUCUGAAGAAGACCUGGGAGAAGCUUCUGCUGGCAGCUCGUGCCAUUGUUGCCAUUAACAACAGAUAUCAGUGUCAUGUCCUCAGGGAAUACUGGCCAGUGGGCUGUGGAGAAGUUUGCUGCUGCCACUGGAGCCACUCCUGUUGCUGAUGGCUCUAUUUCUGGAACCUUUACUAUCCAAAUCCAGGCAGCCUUCUGGGAGCCAUGUCUUCUGGUGCUUACUGAUCCCAGAGCUGACCACCAGCCCCUCACAGAAGCAUGUUAUGUUAACAUACCUACCAUUGCUCUGUGUAACACAGAUUCUUCUCUGCACUGUGUGGACAUUGCCAUCCAAGCAACAACAAGGGAACUCAUUGAGUGGGUCUGAUAUGGUGGGUGCUGGCCUGGAAGUUCUGUGCAUGUGUGGCACCGUCUCCUGUGAACACCCAUGGAAGGUCAUGUCUGAUUUCUACUUCUGCAAAGACCCUUAAAAGGAAGGGCAGUCUGCUUCUGAGAAAGCUGUAACCAAGGAGGAAUUUCAGGGUGAAAGGACUGCUCCAGCUCCUGAGUUUACUGCUCCUCAACCUGAGGUUGCAGUCUGGUUUGAAGGCAUGCAGAUGCCUUCUGUGCCUAUUCAGCAGUUCCCUAUUGAAGACCAUAACACAGCCUACCAUGGAAAAUUGGUCUGCAGCUGCCACUGCUUAGGCCACUGAAUGGGUAGAAACAACCACUGAAUGUCUUAA
rnacentral:lncRNA from 1 species